GACGAACGCUGGCGGCGUGCUUAACACAUGCAAGUCGAACGGAAAGGCCCUGCUUUUGUGGGGUUCUCGAGUGGCGAACGGGUGAGUAACACGUGAGUAACCUGCCCUUGACUUGGGGAUAACUUCAGGAAACUGGGGCUAAUACCGGAUAGGAGCUCCUGCGUCAUGGUGGGGGUUGGAAAGUUUCGGCGGGUGGGGAUGGACUCGCGGUUUAUCAGCUUGUUGGUGGGGUAGUGGCUUACCAAGGCUUUGGUGGGUAGCCGGCCUGAGAGGGUGACCGGCCACAUUGGGACUGAGAUGCCGCCCAGACUCCCACGGGGGGGAGGAGUGGGGAAUAUUGCAAAAUGGGCGGACGCCUGAUGCAGCAACGCCGCGGGCGGGAUGACGGCCUUCGGGUUGUAAACCGCUUUCGCCUGUGACGAAGCGUGAGUGACGGUAAUGGGUAAAGAAGCACCGGCUAACUACGU
rnacentral:rRNA from 1 species